GGCUGGGUGCUCUUGUGCAGU
rnacentral:miRNA from 1 species